rfam:Clonorchis sinensis DNA, scaffold: 740, strain: Henan.
CCGACGAUAGCUCAGUUGGUAGAGCGGAGGACUGUAGAUGUGGCAGUGAUCCUUAGGUCGGUGGUUCGAAUCCGCCUCGUCGGA